UUGCUGGGUGGAUUAGUGGCGAACGGGUGAGUAACACGUGAGCAACCUGCCCCUGACUCUGGGAUAAGCGCUGGAAACGGCGUCUAAUACUGGAUACGAACCAUGAAGGCAUCUUCAGUGGUUGGAAAGAUUUAUUGGUUGGGGAUGGGCUCGCGGCCUAUCAGCUUGUUGGUGAGGUAAUGGCUCACCAAGGCGUCGACGGGUAGCCGGCCUGAGAGGGUGACCGGCCACACUGGGACUGAGACACGGCCCAGACUCCUACGGGAGGCAGCAGUGGGGAAUAUUGCACAAUGGGCGCAAGCCUGAUGCAGCAACGCCGCGUGAGGGAUGACGGCCUUCGGGUUGUAAACCUCUUUUAGCAGGGAAGAAGCGAAAGUGACGGUACCUGCAGAAAAAGCACCGGCUAACUACGUGCCAGCAGCCGCGGUAAUACGUAGGGUGCAAGCGUUAUCCGGAAUUAUUGGGCGUAAAGAGCUCGUAGGCGGUUUGUCGCGUCUGCUGUGAAAUCUGGGGGCUCAACCCCCAGCCUGCAGUGGGUACGGGCAGACUAGAGUGCGGUAGGGGAGAUUGGAAUUCCUGGUGUAGCGGUGGAAUGCGCAGAUAUCAGGAGGAACACCGAUGGCGAAGGCAGAUCUCUGGGCCGUAACUGACGCUGAGGAGCGAAAGGGUGGGGAGCAAACAGGCUUAGAUACCCUGGUAGUCCACCCCGUAAACGUUGGGAACUAGUUGUGGGGUCCAUUCCACGGAUUCC
rnacentral:rRNA from 1 species